CCCAGACUCCUACGGGAGGCAGCAGUGGGGAAUAUUGCACAAUGGGGGAAACCCUGAUGCAGCGACGCCGCGUGAGUGAAGAAGUAUUUCGGUAUGUAAAGCUCUCUCAGCAGGGAAGAUAAUGACGGUACCUGACUAAGAAGCCCCGGCUAACUACGUGCCAGCAGCCGCGGUAAUACGUAGGGGGCAAGCGUUAUCCGGAUUUACUGGGUGUAAAGGGUGCGCAGGUGGCAGGGCAAGUCAGAUGUGAAAGCCCGGGGCUCAACCCCGGUAUUGCAUUUGAAACUGUCCGGCUAGAGUGCAGGAGAGGUAAGCGGAAUUCCUAGUGUAGCGGUGAAAUGCGUAGAUAUUAGGAGGAACACCAGUGGCGAAGGCGGCUUACUGGACUGUAACUGACACUGAGGCACGAAAGCGUGGGGAGCAAACAGGAUUAGAUACCCUCGUA
rnacentral:rRNA from 1 species